UCUUUGCUAGUAUAUCGGUUAGUACACGCGCCUGUCAUGUGGUAAAACUCAUUCUAUGUGCGCGCGAAAGCUGGGUUCGACUCCCAGGCAGAGAG